rnacentral:rRNA from 1 species
UACGUAGGGUGCGAGCGUUAAUCGGAAUUACUGGGCGUAAAGCGUGCGCAGGCGGUGAUGUAAGACAGGUGUGAAAUCCCCGGGCUUAACCUGGGAACUGCAUUUGUGACUGCAUCGCUGGAGUGCGGCAGAGGGGGAUGGAAUUCCUGGUGUAGCAGUGAAAUGCGUAGAUAUCAGGAGGAAUACCGAUGGCGAAGGCAGGUCUCUGGGCUAUAACUGACGCUCAUGCACGAAAGCGUGGGGAGCAAACAGG